AUUGAACGCUGGCGGCAGGCCUAACACAUGCAAGUCGAGCGGGGUUUUCGGACCUAGCGGCGGACGGGUGAGUAAUGCGUAGGAAGCUACCCGAUAGAGGGGGAUAACAGUUGGAAACGACUGUUAAUACCGCAUAAUGUCUACGGACCAAAGUGUGGGACCUUCGGGCCACAUGCUAUCGGAUGCGCCUACGUGGGAUUAGCUAGUUGGUGAGGUAAUGGCUCACCAAGGCGACGAUCUCUAGCUGGUUUGAGAGGAUGAUCAGCCACACUGGAACUGAGACACGGUCCAGACUCCUACGGGAGGCAGCAGUGGGGAAUAUUGGACAAUGGGCGAAAGCCUGAUCCAGCCAUGCCGCGUGUGUGAAGAAGGCCUUCGGGUUGUAAAGCACUUUCAGUAGGGAGGAAGCGUUGUGUGUUAAUAGUACACAGCGUUGACGUUACCUACAGAAGAAGCACCGGCUAACUCUGUGCCAGCCGCCGCGGUAA
rnacentral:rRNA from 1 species